UACGGGGGGGGCAAGCGUUGUUCGGAAUUACUGGGCGUAAAGGGCUUGUAGGUGGCCAACUAAGUCAGACGUGAAAUCCCUCAGCUUAACUGGGGAACUGUGUCUGAUACUGGAUGGCUUGAGUUUGGGAGAGGGAUGCGGAAUUCCAGGUGUAGCGGUGAAAUGCGUAGAUAUCUGGAGGAACACCGGUGGCGAAGGCGGCAUCCUGGACCAACACUGACACUGAGGAGCGAAAGCCAGGGGAGCAAACGGG
rnacentral:rRNA from 1 species